CUAACAAGGAUUCCCCUAGUAACUGCGAGUGAAGCGGGAAAAGCUCAAAUUUAAAAUCUGGCAGUCCUUUGCGGCUGUCCGAGUUGUAAUCUAGAGAAGCGUUAUCCGCGUUGGACCGUGUACAAGUCUCUUGGAAAAGAGCAUUAUAGAGGGUGAGAAUCCCGUCUUUGACACGGACUGCCAAGGCAUUUGUGAUGCGCUCUCGAUGAGUCGAGUUGUUUGGGAAUGCAGCUCAAAAUGGGUGGUAAAUUCCAUCUAAAGCUAAAUAUUGGGGAGAGACCGAUAGCGAACAAGUACCGUGAGGGAAAGAUGAAAAGAACUUUGGAAAGAGAGUUAAACAGUACGUGAAAUUGUUGAAAGGGAAACGCUUCAAGUCAGUCGCGUUUGUUGGGGAUCAACCUGCUCCCNAGGGUGGGAGCAUUUCCUGGCAGGCGGGUCAGCAUCAGUUUUGAUCGUUGGCCNAAGGUCAGNNGGAAUGUGACAUCUUUUUGGAUGUGUUAUANCCUCGGGUCGCAUGCAACGGUUGGGAUUGAGGAACUCAGCACGCCUUCAUUGGCCGAGGCAAUUCAUUGUCUACGUUUACGUGCUUAGGAUGCUGGCAUAAUGGCUUCAAUCGACCCGUCUUGAA
rnacentral:rRNA from 1 species